UACGGGGGGGGCAAGCGUUGUUCGGAAUUACUGGGCGUAAAGCGCACGUAGGCGGUCUGUUAUGUCGGAUGUGAAAGCCCUUGGCUCAACUGAGGAAGUGCAUCCGAAACUGGCAGGCUAGAGUACGAAAGGGGAUCGCGGAAUUCCCGGUGUAGAGGUGAAAUUCGUAGAUAUCGGGGAGAACACCGGUGGCGAAGGCGGUUCUCUGGGCAUUACCUGACGCUGAGGAGCGAAAGUGUGGGGGAGCGAACAGG
rnacentral:rRNA from 1 species